rnacentral:misc_RNA from 1 species
AAAUGCGAUAAGUAGUGUGAAUUGCAGAAUUCAGUGAAUCAUCGAAUCUUUGAACGCACAUUGCGCCCUUUGGUAUUCCUUAGGGCAUGCCUGUUCGAGCGUCAUCUAAACCCUCAAGCCCUGCUUGGUGUUGGGUGCCUGUCCCGCCCCCGUGCGCGGACUCACCUCAAAUCCAUUGGCGGCCCUCGUGCCGGCCCCGAGCGCAGCAGAAACGCGGUCUCGUGGCCCGGCGGAGCGUGCCCCCAGAAGCAACAUUCACCGUUUUGACCUCGGAUCAGGUAGGGAUACCCGCUGAACUUAAGC